rnacentral:rRNA from 1 species
GAUGAACGCUAGCGGCAGGCCUAACACAUGCAAGUCGAGGGAGAAGCCCUUUCGGGGGCAGAAACCGGCGCACGGGUGCGUAACGCGUAUGCAACCUACCUUUCACAGGGGGAUAGCCCGAAGAAAUUUGGAUUAAUACCCCAUAAUAUUAUUGGAUGGCAUCAUUUGAUAAUUAAAACUGCGGUGGUGAAAGAUGGGCAUGCGUCCUAUUAGCUAGUUGGAGUGGUAACGGCACCCCAAGGCUACGAUAGGUAGGGGUCCUGAGAGGGAGAUCCCCCACACUGGUACUGAGACAGGGACCAGACUCCUACGGGAGGCAGCAGUGAGGAAUAUUGGUCAAUGGUCGGAAGACUGAACCAGCCAUGCCGCGUGCAGGAAGAAUGCCUUAUGGGUUGUAAACUGCUUUUAUAUGGGAAGAAUAAGGCGUACGUGUACGUUGAUGACGUACCCAUAUGAAUAAGCAU